AGAGUUUGAUCCUGGCUCAGGACGAACGCUGGCGGCGUGCUUAACACAUGCAAGUCGAACGGUAAGGCCCUUCGGGGUACACGAGUGGCGAACGGGUGAGUAACACGUGGGUAAUCUGCCCUGCACAUCGGGAUAAGCCUGGGAAACUGGGUCUAAUACCGAAUAGGACCACAGGACACAUGUCCUGCGGUGGAAAGCUUUUGCGGUGUGGGAUGGGCCCGCGGCCUAUCAGCUUGUUGGUGGGGUGAUGGCCUACCAAGGCGACGACGGGUAGCCGGCCUGAGAGGGUGUCCGGCCACACUGGGACUGAGAUACGGCCCAGACUCCUACGGGAGGCAGCAGUGGGGAAUAUUGCACAAUGGGCGAAAGCCUGAUGCAGCGACGCCGCGUGAGGGAUGACGGCCUUCGGGUUGUAAACCUCUUUCAGCACAGACGAAGCGCAAGUGACGGUAUGUGCAGAAGAAGGACCGGCCAACUACGUGCCAGCAGCCGCGGUAAUACGUAGGGUCCGAGCGUUGUCCGGAAUUACUGGGCGUAAAGAGCUCGUAGGUGGUUUGUCGCGUUGUUCGUGAAAACUCACAGCUUAACUGUGGGCGUGCGGGCGAUACGGGCAGACUUGAGUACUGCAGGGGAGACUGGAAUUCCUGGUGUAGCGGUGAAAUGCGUAGA
rnacentral:rRNA from 1 species